rnacentral:rRNA from 1 species
UAAGGAAUAUUGGACAAUGGGCGGAAGCCUGAUCCAGCCAUGCCGCGUGCAGGAAGAAGGCCCUAUGGGUUGUAAACUGCUUUUGCAGGGGAGAAAUAAGGUUGAUUUAUUGACCGAUGAUAGUACUCUGCGAAUAAGCAUCGGCUAACUUCGUGCCAGCAGCCGCGGUAAGACGAAGGAUGCGAGCGUUAUCCGGAUUCACUGGGUUUAAAGGGUGCGUAGGCGGUUUAGUAAGUUUCAAGUUAAAGACUGGUGCUUAACAUCGGGACUGCUUGAAAAAACUGCUAGACUUGAGAUAGGUCGGCGUUGCUGGAAUAUGGCAAGUAGAGGUGAAAUUCAUAGAUAUGCCAUAGAACACGAUAGCGAAGGCAGGCGACGAGGCCUUAUCUGACGCUGAGGCACGAAAGCGUGGGAUCAAACA